GAACUUUGAAAUAGGUUACACUUUCGUGUUACACUUUGAAAUAGGUUAACAAUACUAUAUUAAUUUCAAAUAUCAUUAACUAUUGGCACAAUUCUUUGCCUCCGUGAAAAAAUAAAUACUAAAAUUGCAAAGAAGUGCCUCGAUUCCCUCCUCUUUCUAAUUUCAUUUUUCUUCAAUUCCCAUUAACGCCUUAGAAGCUAGAAAAUAUUGACCACCCUCCAUGUAUCCAUUCCAAUUUCACCCACCUCGACUCUUCUCUCUGCUACACCCGACUAAUCUAGGUAUCUAUGAUUGAGAUUGGCCCACAGAAGCGGAGAAACUAGGGUUUUGAGAUCUCCGACACGAAUAUGUCUGCAUUUUGACUCGUAAACCACCGACUAAUCUUCCCGAGGUUGUUGAGUUUUCCGGGGAAUCUUCACACUUCUUGUCGUCUCUUACAGGUUUCUUUCUCAUUUGAAGUUGAGUUCUUUCUUGAAUCCUUAGCAUCAUAAUGCUUGUACAUGAUGAUGCUUGUCUGCUAUGUGCGAACAUUAUUUUCAAUAGGCUUGGGGCAACUGAUUGGAUUAUGACUGGCGAAAGUAAGUUUUAUGACAACUUUCCCCACUUAUUUUCUUGACUUAGAUGCCAUUAUUAGAGUUGGGCUGGAGUCAAUAAUGAUCAAGAUAAGCAAAAUGAAGAAUUGAAGUAUCAACUCAUGACAUCGAGGUAGUUAGAAAAAUAUAUGCAUAUGGCGGAUGGACCAAAGAUGGAUCGAACAAGAGAUGAUCAGUCUUCACAACAAAACUCUGGGUUGGAAGUCUUGACAAAUUGGCAUAUAUGGAUUAGGAAGGUGCACGCAAAUGGCGAGAUGACAGAAGAUGGAGACUAGAUAUAUGACUAUUAGGUCUAAUGUCAGAUUAUCAUAUGAAUAUGUUGCUUGUUGGAAGGUUUUGAUUUUAUAUAGUACAUAAUUUUUUUUUCAUUAGUUUGUUUUUGGAAAUAUAGCACUAAUCGGUGUAUGAAACUAAAUCAUUAUUGUAAUAUAAUGUAUAUUAAUUUCUUAUAGCCUGAUUAGUAUUUUUAUUGUAAUUUUAAAUAAAUAUAUAUAUUAAAGAAAAGUGUUACCUAA